rnacentral:lncRNA from 1 species
CAUUGCUUUAUCUACAUGAGUCGGGAAGACUGGAGAUAAGAGUGGGAUAGACAUGCAGCCUUGUUUCUGUCGAGCACCAGAAGCCUGCAUCAGGUCCGCUGGACAUCUCCCUUUGGAUGUCUCGUCGAGAGAUUAUUAGUACAACAGGAGACGAGGAGCUAAAGGUAAGGCAGACCCUAUGUAUUUUUCUCCUCGUCUCUGCUUCUCAGACUUGUCCUUUUGGAGAGCAGUGAUAAAGCAGAUGGAUUUAGUUUUUAUGUCAGUCAUCAUCAGCUGGGUGGAAGUUUUUGUGUGAAAGAAAAGGCUAGCAUUAAAUUGAUUGAUGGUUCAUUUUUCCUGUUUGCUCCUUGGUCAUUGGAGUGACACCAGGAGGGCUGUCUCGUUAGAGGAGUGUGAGACAAUGGCUCUGACACACACAGAAUUCAUCGCUUGUAAUUGAUCCCUGGAAAUAGCAUAGUCACACAUCGUCCCCAAUAAAUUUGCCUGCUGAACUACUUGGGACAAUCUACCCUGCACUUUUUUCAAAGGCUAUAAGAAAUUAACAGCAUGUAAUCUCACAAGGAAUAUUUGUCAUCGAAUUUCUCCAACAAAUGGGAGAUGACAAAUAUUUCACAUGUGGAUUAAUAAUUUCACCUUUGAGUUUUCUUCAUUUCCGGUCACAACCAGGCCAUACAAGAUGUACAAAUGUGUGAUUUCAGGCACAGCUGUGGUUGUACAAGGCACAGGUGUUGUGUCCUAGCAGACUUUAGCCUUAGAUCCUAUUGUUGUUAUCACUCCCCUUAUCAAAACAUCCAGGGUUUUUGCCCUAGCAGGUGAUGCUCCAAGAAGGAAGGAAGAAAUAAUUCUCCAACUGGACCCACUAUUGUCCACCAGGGUUUACUUUCCCCUGGGGACUUGCUCAUAGAAAAUUCCUCUGCCACCAGCCUGCCCCCAGAAAUGGCUGCAGCCCCUUGAGUGCUCCAACAUAAGUGGGGACAAAAUCUUCUGUCUCUGGCUGUCCUUAGCACAGAUAAGCCUGGCUGGACCUGUCAGAGAAAAUUGAAGAACAAAAGGAGCACACAGGAGGGAUAAACACAAAGAAGGCAAGAAUGAUAAAAUGCUCUGCUUAGAAAGUGCAAAUUUCUGAACCUGCCUGAGCCACCGAGCUCUGAAGGCUCAAGGGCCCUUCUCUUUCUAUAAUUUUCUCCUGAGGAUGAUGCUAUGCUUAACCUGAAAAGAGAGCAGGGCGCCUGACUUCCUGGCUUCUCAGCAAUGGUGUCACUAGUUAUAGAUGCCUCUCCGCAGAAAGUCUGAGUUCUCCUUUUGUUCUUCUCAUGCAGACAGUAUCAAAGCAGCUCACCCUUCUUCCAGCAGGAAACGUGAAUGUGUGAAAAGAGCGACCAUUUGUUAGACUCUGUUUCUGGCCCAGCAUCAUGAUGUUUCUUAGGGUAAGGGGCAGGGGAGGAUGGAGAGGCAAUAGUGAAGAAACUGUUUUGUGAUUCAGAGGAAAGAGCAAGGUGACAAAAAAAAAAAGGACCAUGAUUUAAUUUUAAUUAAAAUUAAAUAGGCAUACAUGACUGGUGGUUAAUGUUUUAGUGAAGCUCAAGAGACUAAGCGUGGCAGGGGCCCAGCAGAAAGUAGGUCCAGCAUCUCUGCCGCAAAGGCAAAGUCAUCCCCCGUCCUGCCCUGCCCCGCUCCACCCCGCCUGCUGGUCAAGGCCCCUCUGUCUCCCUCCUCCUGAAAGAGCACUGGACUAGAGUGUAGGUCAAGAGUGGCAAUGAUUUGGCUGUUGGCUAGUGGCAUCCUGCCCUAGCCUGGCUGUUUGUGCCCACAACCACCCACCAGCCUGAAGGAUCAGGUUGCUGCUUUGAUUUAGCCUCUCUAUUGCCACUCAGCCCGCACCUUUGCUGUCUCACCCUCCUGUACAGUGAGGCCUUUCCCUGUCUAUUUGAUUCCUAUUAGAGAACCAGGCAUUUCCCCGGUGACGGUGGAAAUAAGGUAUUCCAGGUGCAUGCUGUAAGGAAGGCGCAUGCGCGCAUAUGUAUGCACACACGCAUGCGCCGUCUAGACCAAGGCGGGCACCUGUUCCAUCCCAGGGAGUAGAGGCGGCCACAUUCCCAAGGGGUUCUGUUACAGGCGGCCACAGGCUCCAAAGCCCAGAGCUGAUUCUGCUCUGGCUCCACUUCUUUCCUCUGCUGUCUGCUUAGUAAAGGAGCAAAGGCCAGGCCCAAGGCCCGCAGGUCACUAUAGAGUAUGGUGACCCCUAAGAAAACAAGAUCAACCGUCUUCAGGGCCCAUCCCCAACCUGCAAGGGGUCCCUGAGUUUACUAGUUAUUUGGGGUCACAAAGAUCCCAAGCAAUUUGCACAGUCUCCUUGCUGCCACUCCUCUCCUAACCAGAAGCAACCAGGGAGCGAGACGCCACUUCACAUGGGACAAAGGUGGAUGUGAGAUGUGCAAGACCAGACCCUGAGGAAGGGCCACGGUGACCCAAGGGCUGGGCCCUUCAGCCUAAACUUACCUCUAGACUGAAAGGUGAUAGGUCCCAGGCGGAGCCCAGAGGGAGGGGGUGGGCAGCUGAGAUGGAGGCCAGGCUGGAAGGACUGGAGGGGAGCCAACACUGGUGUGUCUGCACACAGGAGCUGGGAGAGUCUCCCUAGAGCCUCAGGGCUCUUCCAGCAAAAGGUAAAGUUUGAAACCCCCCCACACACACACUCAGAGGAGUCCAGCCCUCCUGCAGCGCUCUUACACCCCAUCCCUGCAACCUGCAACUUGGCCUCCACCCCUUCCCCACACUCUGCCCCUACUAUCCGACAGAGUUUUGAGCCAGGGCCGUAGGGGCCCUGAAGGGAGGCCGGUCUUCUCUUUCACCUUGGUUCCUGGGACGCGCUGCGUCAUCAUGGCAGAGGCCAAGAGCUAGAUCCCGUGCCCGGGAUGCAGACUGAGCAGAAAGGGUGGAGGAGGCCGAGCAUGGAGUUGUGGACCAUCUCUCACCCUGCCCAGAGCCCCCAGCACCCCAGUUCUUGCCAUGUGCCCUCUUGUGGGUGCUGAUGGGGCGUGGUGAGAGAUGCAGUGCACAGCCACAGCCUCCUCUCACCAGACCCUGGGACUCACUCUCUGCCCCCCACUCUCAGACAUCUGUUGAAUCCCUGACUUCAAGCCUCACAUGGUGAAGCUCCUCCCUGCGGAAAUAAAGGGUUCAAGAAGGAUCUGGAAGGAGACAGAAACUCAGCUCAGCUGGCACAUCAAGGUCAGGGGCCUCACCUCUCCUCAUUUUAAAGAGAAAGAUCUGUAAGCAGAGGAGAGAAGCCAGCCGAGUGACCCCUGAGUGGAAAUCAGGGCAGAAAUCUUUUGCAACAGAAUCCCCAUGGGAAACAUGACAAAAUUAGCAACAGGAAUGAGGUCUCCCUCGGAGGAUACAAGAAUCACUGGGUUGAAAAUAACCACAAGGUCAUCUAGUUCAGCUGCCACCACUUGCCUGAAUUUUUCCAGAAAUUUUUGGACAAGCAGUCAUCCAGCCUCAUCCAGCAGCUCAGUACUCAGCAGCCCCCUCCUGAUGGCGGGCAAGGUUUUAAAGGCCCCUGGGGCUCUCGUGCUUCCAGGGGCAGCUCGCAGAGGGCAGCGGGCAGCAGGCAGCACACAGGGGCCCGGGUCCAGCGCUUCCCUCCCUCCGGCUGCUGUGUUUAUACUCCAUUGAUUCACAGCAAAGACUCUUGGCAAGAUCAAGAUUUCUUUACACCGCUUGUGUGGCUGCUUUAGUGAACCAGCCUUAAAACAUGCUCCCGAGGAGGUCAGUUUUUGGUUAUCGUUGGCUUUAAUUCCUGGAAAAGUUCUGGGAAUCACGAUUUCAGAACCAGAAAGAGCUUCGGCAUCUCGUCCAGCCACCUCACAAUGACUCGUGAGAACCGAAGGGAGCCUGGAGCCUAGGGUGGAAUUCAGACCUUAUUCCCCACUGUUCCCCCCAGUGCCCUCUGAGCUGCAGUCCCAGUGGCUCUGGGACCCUCCAGAAGGUGCUCAGUGGCCUCUCUAGGGUCUCGUGUUACCUGAUCCACUGCAGCCCUGGCCCUGUGGACUCCUCCCCGGUUCUCAGCUCCUCCCUUGGUCUUUGCAGCCCCAUUCCCGGCUAGUAGGCUGGGGAAAGGGUGUGCAGUGUCCAUGCCUUUUCAGUGCCUCGCUUUCCCAUGUCUCCACCUGUGCACAAGCCUAGAAGCGCUCCAAACUCUCUCCUUUUGGAUUUUUUUAAUGGAGGCUUCAUUGUAUUGGCUGAUUAAAUCAUCAGCCGCUGGUGAUUGAAUGUAAUCUCCAGCCCCCCCAGGAGACUGGGGUUUGUGCAGCCACUCCUUGACCACUGCCCCCUCCAACCAUUUCAGCCACUAAGUCUUAUUCCCCUUAAAAAUAGUCGUGCUUGUUUGGGCAGGUUCUCUCCACGGAUUGAGUCUUUCACAGCUACAUUUUUUGAUCAGUAUCUACCCUUUGCUUCCACUUCAUCCCCUUCCCUCCAGCUGUCACCACAGUUUUUAUCUGUCUUACGCCCCAGCGCUCCCCUGGACCUGCUCUCACCAGCGGACUUCACCUUCCUAAUUCCAGUGUUUACUUUUAGUCCCUGCCUUGCUUGAUGGCCUCAUAAUGUUUGGCACAGCUGACUGUACCCUCCCUUGUAAAAUUCUCCUUUCGCUUGGGUUCCUCGACCCGAUGUUUUUCUCCUAACUUCCGAGUAGGCUCUUUUGCCUACGUGACCCAGGCCUUGAAAUCCUGGAGUCACGUGGCACUCUGUCCCGGAGCUCCUUCCUGAGUCAGCCCACCUCUUUCCUCGUGAUCCCAUCCGCCCCAGUGACUUGGCUCGCCAUCUGUCUGUAAACGAAUGGCCCUUUAAUCUGUGGCACCUGCUCAGACUUGCUCCUGAGCCAGAAUGUCACCACGGGAUGUUGCAUAUGUAUAGCUCUCUGACCCUCGAUGUGUCAGAAGCUGACUCAGAACCUUCUCCCUGGUCUCACCGUCACCACCCAUCACUCUGCAUCCCAGGAAACAGCUUACACUUGCUAUUCAAGGCAGACCCUGAGGGCCUUGAACCCCUUUCCCUUCUUAACCACCCCACUCCUCUUCUAAUAGGCUCUAAGGUCAUGUCCUUCUCUCUAAUGCAGCUGUCCCAGGCUCUGACCAUCACUUCUUAUUUGCAUGUAGCAGACACCUCUAACCACACCUCCCUGUGUCCACUCUUGACUUCUUCCAAUCCAUUCUCAUGUUGCAGCCAGAGAGGAUUUUACAAGGCGCACAUGGGAUUAUGUCACCUGACUGUUUCAAAGCCUUCAAUGGUCCCCAUGUUUAGGAUGGCACCCCAAACCUCAACAUGGCUGGAUUUCUGUCUCACAAUGCUUUUUCUCAAACACAGCUCUCCAGCUUAAUUCAACACUUUCAUUUCUUCCAAUGCCUCCACUCUUUUUCAUGUCUAAUUAGUUAGCAUUCCCUGCCCAUUAGAUUUAAAUUUAAAGACCCAUGACGUUAUGAAUCUGUUUUAUUCACCACUAUACAUAUAUAGCAAUUAGCACAAUGUCUGACAAAUAUUUGGAAACUACAUGAUUUAUUUAUUCAGAAAAUAGUUUUUAAAUGCCUGGUCUGUGUCAAGCUCCAUUCUUGAUUCUUGGUGAUGUGGAAAUAUUUUUUUUAAAAGAGAGACAAAACCCUUUGCCCUUAAGGAGUUAUAUUCUACUAGAGAGAGAGAAACACAAUGAGAAGAAUAGGUGGUAUAUCUGAUGGUGAUAACUGCCAAAGAAAAAAAUUAAGUAGGGAAGGAGGGGGGAUAAAGAAAGAAAGGAGGCAGACAGAAGGAGGGAUGGAGAGACAGAGGGAAGGAGUGAUGGAGAGACAGAGGGAAGCAAGCAGAUAUUUGGGGGAAGAACAUCCAACAAGGAGAGUGGCAAGUUCAAAGGUCCUGGAUGGAUAUAUGCCUUCAGAGUUCAUGGCCAGAAAGAAGGUCAGUAUGACUAGAGAGAAUGAGGCAGGGAGAGCAGUGGAAGAUCAGUGCGGAGACUCGAAGGGCUCCCUGAUGCAGGGCUGGUGGUCCUGAGGGAGCUGUCGCCGUGUCUGCAACGCGGAGCUGCUGGAGCGCUCUGGGUAGAGGGGUGCUGUGGCAGGACGAGGAUUUCAGCGGUCUCACUCAGCAUGCCAGCAUGCUCUGUUGGAAACAAACUGAACAGGAGUAAAGAUGGGAGCAAAAGUGCCUGGUAGGAGGCUGCUGCCGCCACCCAGGUGAUCCAUAAUGGCAGCUGCAACCAGGGUGGUAGCAGAGAGGUUGAAUCCUUUACACAUUUUGAAGGUAGAGGUGACAGGGUUUCCUGAUGAUCGGAAUGUAGCAUUUACGAGAAAGAGGAAUCGAGAACGAUUCCAACGGUAACCCUAAGUUUGGUUUCGGAAUCUUGGAAUCUGUUUCUGUUUUGUAAGUUCUGUGGUAUCAAAUGCCACGGGUUAGUGAUGUCAUGUUACUUGUUUUUCCAAGUGGGAAAUGAGGGGAGAGAAAUAAUUUGGGAGGUUGGGACUAACAUAUACACACUGUGAUAUAUAAAAUAGAUAAGUAACAAGGACCUACUUCCCAGCACAGGGAAAUCUAUUCAAUGAUGUACAGGGGAAAAGAGACUGAAAAGGAAUGAUUUUAUGUAAGUGUGUGUGUGUGUGUGUGUGUGUGUGUGUGUGAUUCACUUUGCUGUGCACCUGAAACUAACACAACAUUGUAAGUCAAUUACACUCCAAUAAAA